AACAGGCCUUGUGUGAGCAACAUGGUUGUUUAUUUCACCUGGGUGCAGGUGGGCUGAGUCCGAAAAGAGAGUCAGCAAAGGGAGAUAAGGGUGGGGCCGUUUUAUAGGAUUUGGGUAGGUAAAGGAAAAUUACAGUCAAAGGGGGUUUGUUCUCUGGCAGGCAGGAGUGGGGGUCGCACACAAGGUAAUGUCAUCAGUUAAGGCAAGGACCGGCCAUUUACACUUCUUUUGUGGUGGAAUGUCAUCAGUUAAGGUGGGGCAGGGCAUAUUCACUUCUUUUGUGAUUCUUCAGUUACUUCAGGCCAUCUAGGCAUAUACGUGCAAGUCACAGGGGAUGCGAUGGCUUGGCUUGGGCUCAGAGGCCUGACAUGACUCAAAACAGUAUUCACAUUUUUCAGGCUAUUGGUACCAAUUGUCAAAAUGACUUUUAAGAAGAUUGAAUCUGCAGUUCUAACAGUUUUCAUGAGAGACAGAGACAGAGGGAGACAGAGAAUAUUUCAAAGGCCCGAUCAACUCUGUGCUUAUCAUUAAAAUUUUUUUAAUGAUUGGAGGGUGAAAAAUUAUAUCUUCCAUUUAAAGUCUUUGAUUUAUUGAUUCCUAGUGCUCUUAAGCAUUUUGUUCAUGGGGAGACAUUUGUAUUUGCUCUGUGUGUGUGUGUGUGUGUGUGUGUGUGUGUGUGGUUUUGUUUUGUUUUUUGUUUGUUUGUUUGUUUUUUUGAGACGAGGUCUUGCCCUGUCGCCCAGGCUGGAGUGCAGUGGCACAAUCUCCACUCACUGCAGCCUCUACCUCCUGGGCUCAAGUGAUCCUCCCACCUCAGCCUCUCAUGUAGCUGGGACUACAGGCAUGCACCACCACACUUGGCUAAUUUUUGUAUUUUUUUGUAGAGACAGGGUUUCUGCCAUGUUGCCCAAGCUGUUCUUGAAUUCCUGGGCUCAAGUGAUCCUCCUGCCUUGGUCUCCCAAAGUGCUGGGAUUACAGGAGUGAGCCAUCAUGCACAGUCUUGUAUUUUCUUUUACUGCCAUUUCUUAUUCUGUUUGGUGGCUUGUCUGGGUUGGAUUUUUUGUUUGGUCGUUGCUAUUGAUUUUUUAUUAUUAUGAAAUUUUUUAACCAAAAUAGAAAAAAUAAUGAAUCACUAUAUUCCCAUCACCCAUAUUGAACAAGUAUCAACAUUUUGCCACACUUGGUUUACCCGUCCUUUUUCCUCCUGCAUUUUAAGUCACAUCCCAGAUAUCAAACAUUCAUUCCCAGAUUCUUUGGUAUAUAUCUCUAAAAAGUAAGGAGAUUUUCCAUGAUGCUAGUUCACAUCUUACAAAAUUAACAACACCUUUAGUUUUUAAUUGCUACAGUUUCUGUUUCAUUGGCCACAGCCAAGUUAUGCAGCCGCAUCAACGGAAUUGGAGGAGAGGAAACCCAUCUUAGCUUCCUUGUCACCUCCAAAAAUUAAAGAAGAAAAUCUGCUGCCUAUAUGCUAGUAGAGUGAUUGAGAACCCUUGAGUCCCCUCUGCCCACAGGCCCAUUUAGAAACACACUGAAUCUGCAAUGCCAGCCUCGAUUUUUAGAUAAAUGCCCCAGCUGAAGCUUGCCAAUGUAUAGGAAUAAUCCAAGUUUUAUUCACAACUGCCCCUCUUUCUUUGAAAAUGUGUGAGCCCAACAUGAUCAAUGACCGAGUUUUCAGGCCUAACCCACUGGGGUCACAGGAGGUCCCUGUUAUGUCCCUUGUAUGGUCAAAUACAGAAUUUUCUCUUUCAGAUGGUCAGGGUUGCCUUCAGGGCUGAGACUCACAGUCAUUUUUAAUCUUGGGCACUCUUGUCCACCCCCACAUUCCCUAACCUGCCAUCCGGGGUCCUUUUCGUCACAAUAAAUAAAAUCUUUAGGAACAGGGUUCCUCAUUUCUGUGGUAUUGAAAAGGGAAGGGCAAUGUUCAUGCGUACCAUUAAAAGUGUUUUCUUUCAUUAUAGAUUACCUUUUCAAUUGACUGCAAGGAUGUUAGUAAGACAACUGGCCCUGAUUGUUAUACGUAACAUGUUAAUAUCUGGGCACAUUUCAGAAGCAACAGCUCUACAACUGCUCAUUCAAAAUGAAAAUGAGGAAGUUAGGAAGACCACACAUGGUCCUAGGCCACAUAGAGUGAUUGCUACUGCAGAACAAAAGGACUGUGUCAGGGUUUUCUUCUAUAUUUCACAUGAUACUGAUGCAACUGUAUAGAGUGUUUGCAUUUUAUUUUUUAAAGUGUUCGAAAUUUUUUUACAAAAAUAUGUAGAACUAAGCACUUAAUAUAUUUCAAAUACAAUUACUUAUAAAUAUGUUAUACAACAUGUACAUAUAUAAAUAUAUGAAAAGAAAUAUAAGCGUCUAUUAAGUUAUUAGCAAAUAAAUUAAUAAAAGGAAGUAAUAGUUGAGAAAAAGAAAAUCACUAAAAGUGAAGAAAACGGCAUUAAUCAUGAAAAUUAAGUUGAAAAUGAAAUAUUCUUAUUUGAUCUUUUCAAAAAGUGAAAUAUGUAAAAAUAAAGUGUUUUUGUUUUUCA
rnacentral:lncRNA from 1 species